UACAUUUAAACACAAUUCCUUUGUUCCCAUAUCCUGAAAUCAGUAAAUUUAAGCAAUUUUAUUUUUCAUUCUGUGCUUCAGGGAUCUAUGAGGGUCAACACAUAUUUAUCACACGCUGACCUUGUGCUCAGGCCUAUAGGAAAAUGAACCUCCCUGCCCGCAAUGACCUUAGAACCUAACUAAGGAUAUGGUUAAAACAAGCGCAGGAUUGGGUGAGACCUGCUCAAGGGUCAGGCGCUGGUUUGUCGGGGAGAAAUGUUGCCCAGGAAGGACAGGUGUGAAAGAAAGAGAAGAUCCUGCAAGACCGGAGGGCCCAGGAAAGUCUGGGGGACUCAAAGGAGAGUUUCAGGAUUGACCAUGGGUGGACAGGGCUCUGCAGACCAGGAUCUUUUCUAUGCACACUUGGGGCCAGAAAGUUCUUUGUGGUGGGGGCUGUCCUGUACAAUGCAGGAAGCUCAGCAGCAUCCCUGGCCUCCACCCACUCAAUGCCAGUGGCACUCCCUCCCUAGUUGUAAAUGUGUGCAGACAUUAGUACUUGUCACCUGCAGGGAAGAAUCACCCCACUGAGAACCACAUGCUGAGUCAAGGCAACAGCAUAGGAAUUGGAGCACGCAAGAGAGCUGGUCAACACAGAGAGAUGAGCUUCAGGGGCUGCUGGAUGUACUCCACCUGGAAGCAGAGGCCGAGGACCCCUCCUCCUGGACUAGGGCUCACCUCGCCUCCUGACUGUAUUCUGCCUGUGUUCUCCUCCAGUCCCACCCUUAUUUCUCUUUGUCUAAAUGGCAAACUCCCUUUAAGCAAGAAUUCAUGGCGUCUCCACAUUCGGCCCUCAAGAAACUUUUAUUGAGUUGAACUAAAACCAGGCAUGUCUUAAGUGUUCAUGGCUGAUAAUGCGGGAUCCUUCAACGCUGGAAACGCCCAGAUGGUAACGAGAGUUCUGAUAGUGCCGGAUCCUUCGACGCUGGAAACGCCCAGAUGAAACUUCAUGAUGAUCAACCACACCUCACAUUUGCUUCAUUCAGUCUAUGGACCAGGAAGAAUUUUCUGUGACACAUUCAGGUUCUUACUCAUUUACAGAGUCACAGAUCUGUCAGCCUGGGAACCGGCCCCCAAAUGGAAGACCUAGGCAGUUCUGAUGGGUCCAUCUGCAAGGGGAGUCACAGAAGUGUGUGAUGAGGAGAGGAAGAGAUACAACAGAUGUCUUAUGAGAAGCAGAGGGAGGACCUCAAGAGACUGCCUGGCCCAGUCCCUCACUAGGCGUAAGAAACAAACUCACCCAUCCAAACCCGAAGAAUGGACUCAGAGACCCAGAGAACAGCGAAAUUGAAAAAUGGAGACGUCAAGUUCCCUAGUCACAGAGCAGCUGUGAUGGGACCCACGUAAACAGCCCUGAUCAGUAGUGAAGAGCAACAUGUGGCACACAGGGCCUCCUGCACAAGCAACAGUCGCUGCUUGCUGUUACUGUGGGCUCCACGUUGGGAUCAGACACACCUGUCUUCAGUGGCUUGCAGUUGCAGCAAGGACCGAAUGGUCUAUUCUAAAAGAAAACAUUACAGGCAGGCAGUACCAGACCACUGUGCUUGCAGCCCUCAUGAGAAGGCUCAGAAGACACAGGAGCUGCCCUGGGUGUGAAUUUCGUGUCCAUGCUGGCUUCUCGCAGUGGCCCUUGGCAUAGGUUGGGAUCUUGCAGCAAGAUUCUUCAUCGGUUUCUCCAUCUCUGAAGACUUCUUGCCAACAGCUGUACACAGGUUUGUUCUAAUUCCCCAACCUUGCCACGACUGACCUGGGUCAUCACCAUGUGCUUAUUGAAGAGCCUUGGAAUACUGUAUAGACCCGUACAGAGUUGUUCAAAUAGACAAUUGAGGACGACUAUAAUAGUUUCUCAUUAGAAAUACAUGCUAAUAAACAUCAUGUCUUUGGUAUUAAGUGGCAAUUAGAUGAAACAACCUGAAAUUCUGUCUGAUACCAAGAUUGAACUUUGCUGAGAUUACUGUUUCACUCACCGAAAAUAUCAGAAUACUCAAGGGAGUUAUUUUUUUUCUUAAUGUAACUUUCAUAAAGGAAAUGAAAGAAAUGUGGAGACUG
ensembl:lncRNA LINC03066 long intergenic non-protein coding RNA 3066